rnacentral:rRNA from 1 species
GCAGUCGCCGCGGUAAUACGUAGGUGGCAAGCGUUGUCCGGAAUUAUUGGGCGUAAAGGGCUCGCAGGCGGUUUCUUAAGUCUGAUGUGAAAGCCCCCGGCUCAACCGGGGAGGGUCAUUGGAAACUGGGAAACUUGAGUGCAGAAGAGGAGAGUGGAAUUCCACGUGUAGCGGUGAAAUGCAUAGAGAUGUGGAGGAACACCAGUGGCGAAGGCGACUCUCUGGUCUGUAACUGACGCUGAAGUGCGAAAGCGUGGGGAGCAAACAGGAUUAGAUACCCGCGUAGUCCCUGUCUCUUAUAC